rnacentral:rRNA from 1 species
AGAUUAAGUUAUUAAGGGCGCACGGUGGAUGCCUUGGCACUAGAAGCCGAUGAAGGACGUUACUAACGACGAUAUGCUUUGGGGAGCUGUAAGUAAGCUUUGAUCCAGAGAUUUC